UGCGUAGGCGGAAAAUUGAGUCAGUGGUGAAAUCCUGCAGCUCAACUGUAGAACUGUCAUUGAUACUGAUUUUCUUGAAUACAGUUGAGGUAGGCGGAAUAUGUAAUGUAGCGGUGAAAUGCUUAGAUAUUACAUAGAACACCGAUUGCGAAGGCAGCUUACUAAACUGUGAUUGACGCUGAGGCACGAAAGCGUGGGGAGCGAACAGGAUUAGAUACCCUGGUAGUCC
rnacentral:rRNA from 1 species